UCUGACUGCUGCGCACACACUAUUAAAAACCUCAAGGCAAGGCAGCUAAUAUGUAGUUUGAAGGCGUUGAAGACCUCUCGAGGUUGGGUAACGUAUGGCAGUGUGGGAGGAGUCUCAGUGCGGUUAUAAAUGGCGGAUGAAGCGUUAGAUCGGUCCAUUUCCUCCUUCUUUUUGGCUCGGUCUGGUGCAAAAUGAAGACUCUCCAUAAAAGCCAGGUGGCUGGUUGGAUUUCAUCUGAAUGUCUGAUAAAAACACUCCAGGGACUUCACAGAAGGACUGCAUCCUCGUAUUCUACUUAAGAUGACUGCCAUCAGAUUGGAAACAUCCUAUGAUCUGACUCUUAAGGUUGGACAGAACCUUUAUCACAUGGCUCUGAAAAGCUGGAAGUCAACCCCACAGAUGAAGGGAUGCUGAUGGUACAUAAUGGAUUUGAAAGCACUACGAAAUGCAACAAGUUCAUUUCAGUUUUGAGAUGCAAAAGUAACGGUGGCUGUAGCGGGGAGAGUUGAUUGCGGUUUUGAGAUGCAAAAGUAACUGGCUGUAGCGGGGAGAGUUGAUUGCGGUUUUGAGAUGCAAAAGUAACUGUGGCUGUAGCGGGGAGAGUUGAUUGCGGUUUUGAGAUGCAAAAGUAACUGGCUGUAGCGGGGAGAGUUGAUUGCGGUUUUGAGAUGCAAAAGUAACUGGCUGUAGCGGGGAGAGUUGAUUGCGGUUUUGAGAUGAAAAAGUAACUGUGGCUGUAGCGGGGAGAGUUGAUUGCGGUUUUGAGAUGCAAAAGUGGCUGUAGCGGGGAGAGUUGAUUGCGGUUUUGAGAUGCUAAAGUGGUGGUGGCUGUAGCAGACUGAAGGCGAG